rnacentral:lncRNA from 1 species
CGAGUAGAUAUGGUUGCCAUUGUUCAAUAGAGCCAUUGGACUUGUCUCAACGAUGUUCCUAUCUGCCAUGAUAUUGCAGGAUAUCUAGGUUGACUCAUUAUCCCUGGCUUUGUAAAGACUACAGCAUAAUGGGAGCCCUACUUCCUUGUUCCCACCCUCAAAGACAGGCUUUUCAAAACGGGGAAGGUACUGCUUUACAGGUUCACAGGAGCUAUGCUACUAUGCACUGUAUAUCCGAGAUUGCUAAAUUAUUCACUACAAUGGCUGCUUCUGAUGAUUCCGCUUUCCAAGAAGAGCUGGAAGCCAAAUUUUGGGGGGAUGUUAAUUUACAUAGGAACAUACAGCCCUGUUUAUUUGAGUCAGAAUGCACUGAAGAGGAGUUGAAACAGCAAUAAAAAUAAUAGUGAAACCAGCAAGCUGCGGCGGCAGCCUAGACCAGGUGGACCAGGUCAAAGGAAGGCAAAUGACAAACAAGACAAAAAGUAAACAUGCAGAGAGCCUCUGUAUUGCCCAACCCCCCCUAGCAGUGAAUUGCGAGUGAGAAGUGCCGGAGCAUCAUGUCGCAGCUUCCUAAAGAAAAAUCUGGCUUCCAAAAACUAAAAGAAAGAAAAGAAGGACAGGAGAGAGAAAAGAAAGGGCGACUGUAUGUCACCCAAUUUUUCACAAAGGAAGAUCUUUUUGCCGCUGAAACUCUAGCACGUUCAAAAGCGAAUACUGGAACAAUAUUUUGAAUGUCGAAUGUGGAGAAUGCUCAGAGGCGAUCUAAAGAACACUAAUGUCAUUACGUUUGUUGUUUUGUGAUAUCAUUAAAAAUGUUAUAAAGGAAAUACUGUAGCUUGGAAAGUAUACCCACUACAUGUGUGAAGUGUCCAUCCUAUGUGAAUCCAAAGCACAUUCAAUAAAGGAAGGUGAUAGAUAUAAUCAAAUGUUUUAUUUACAUGCAUUUAUUUCACCUCAUACUUUCUUCUGACCCUCCUGGGAUUUAAAAUAUUGCCUUCUGUUUAGUUUACUGUACAUAGUAGAGUGUAAGGAAAAGGUAAAAUACAAAAGAGAGUUUACAGUAUGUGCAGGUAAGGUAAAAAUAGGGACACUACUGUGAAACCAUAUGGCAUAAUUCUGUUGGGGUAAGUGUCCUCCGGGGGGAGGGAGGACUUACUCCGGUAGCUGGACAAAAUACCCCUUUCCUAAAAUAUAAAUUGUAUUAAAUAACUACAAAUCUGCCAACUGAAGCUAUCAUCCACCUUCAUUUUUUUCUGAAAUCUGCUUUUUUGUGUCAGCAAAUAGACAUUGAUCUUAGAGUGUGUGUUUACCCCAAUGUUUUAUUUGUUUUGUGAAAUGCUAUCUCAGAUUCUUAAGGAAGAACUUCUGCACCACGUGAUUUGUUUUUCUCUUUUAGUUGAUGCUUUUAUGGCCGUUUGCAGAGAGAUUUGUGCCAUAGUAGAUGUGUGAAAAAUAUAUGUUGUUACCUCAGAUAACCAUAUUUAAUAAGCAAACUAUCAAAAUGUUUUCGCACUAAUGUAAAGGAAGAAUUUGGCAAUGUUAUCAUGUAAUAAAGAUGUCCCUAACCUGA